AUGGGGUACCAGGACUCCCCUCCUUUAUCUCUUCUUGAUUUAGAGGCUUGCAGAUGGGGUAAACACAGGCAGCAGUGCCAGAGCAGGAAAAGGCAGUUUGAGGAUGAGAGAGAGCUCCACAUCUCCCUGAGAGGAUUCAGACAUGGAGGGGACGACACACAUCAAAGAAUCUGGAUGGGGCUGGCUAUGCUUUGACUAAGCCACACCCCUUCUCAACUUCCACCUCGAGGAGGUCCCCAAAGCCAACCCAAUGGCCAAACAACACGAGAACAAGCAACGGCUGGGACCCACAGGCACAGUUAGUUCAGCUUGGUUUUGCUCUCACCUCUUCGCUGCUUACAGCUCACAGUACGUACUGGUUCACACAGUUCGUUCCUUGGGUGCUCACUCGCUGUCUCUUUCUCCACAGGCAGCGGCGUAAGUACAGGGUUCCUCGGUCUCUCCUCGUGUUACCCUCUCGCUCUCCUUUUCUCUCCACAGGUAUCAACUUGGACACAAAGCACAGUUACUCUGCUUUGGAUGGCUUUCACCUCUGGGCUGGACACAGCGUACCGCGCUAUCUCCGGAGAUCUGAAGCACGCUCACAACAUAAACUGUACUGAACUAGGCUAGGACCAGCAGUCUCCUUGUCCUCCCGCGACGAAGUGCGUGAAGGCGGGGGUUUAUCUGACAGGACACACGGCAAUACACAGCAGCCCACAGCAAUAUACAGCACCACGUCAAAAUUAUAGGUUUUCACAGCAUGAAGACUCACCCACCACACUCAGUGUACGAAAAGGACACCCGUCUUCCUUCACUUCGCUUGGUUCGGAUCUGGCGAUGGAAUAUGCGGCCUAGCUAGUGAUGUCGUCGUUGUGACUACUUCAAUAAGUAUUCUUUCGGCUCUCCCACCACGCUAUAUUAGGGGUAGGGCCGCCCUCCUCCUCCUGGAGAGAUCUACACAACGCCAGGUCAAUAUACAGGGCACUUUCGACUGGCUCUUAGUACUCACAUCAAUGCCGCUUCCAAUCCCCUUUUUCACGUCGUCUCAGUUCGCCGUAUAAUCCGUUCACUUCUCAACCUUUAAGGUUCGCGAUGUCUUCACAAUCAUACAAUUCCAGCCCGAGGCCGAGAGAGAGCUAGACAGCCGCCAGCAGCGCACCAAGACGCGCACAACACAGUGCUUCACACAUACCAGAAAGAACGCUCAGACUGUGAAAUAACUUGGCCUUAAGUACUGCCUCGUCCAGCGUAUCCUCCAAUCACCAACCGCUCUCCCUAACUAGGCACAGGC
ensembl:lncRNA